GAUGAACGCUGGCGGCGUGCCUAAUACAUGCAAGUCGAGCGAACGGACGAGAAGCUUGCUUCUCUGAUGUUAGCGGCGGACGGGUGAGUAACACGUGGAUAACCUACCUAUAAGACUGGGAUAACUUCGGGAAACCGGAGCUAAUACCGGAUGAUAUUUUGAACCGCUUGGUUCAAAAGUGAAAGACGGUCUUGCUGUCACUUAUAGAUGGAUCCGCGCUGCAUUAGAUAGUUGGUAAGGUAACGGCUUAACAAGGCAACGAUGCAUAGCCGACCUGAGAGAGUGAUCGGCCACACUGGAACUGAGACACGGUCCAGACUCCUACGGGAGGCAGCAGUAGGGAAUCUUCCGCAAUGGGCGAAAGCCUGACGGAGCAACGCCGCGUGAGUGAUGAAGGUCUUCGGAUCGUAAAACUCUGUUAUUAGGGAAGAACAUAUGUGUAAGUAACUGUGCACAUCGUGACGGUACCUAAUCAGAAAGCCACGGCUAACUACGUG
rnacentral:rRNA from 1 species